rnacentral:rRNA from 1 species
GAUCCUGGCUCAGAAUCAACGCUGGCGGCGCGCUUAACACAUGCAAGUCGAACGAGAAAGCCCGCAAGGGUGAGUAAAGUGGCGUACGGGUGAGUAACACGUGGGUAAUCUACCUUUUGGUGGGGAAUAACCCUGGGAAACCGGGGCUAAUACCGCAUAAGCUCUGUCAUUUAUAUGGUGGAGGAAAGGAGCAAUUCGCCGAAAGAGGAGCCCGCGGCUGAUUAGCUAGUUGGUGAGGUAAGAGCUCACCAAGGCUAUGAUCGGUAGCCGGCCUGAGAGGGCACACGGCCACACUGGCACUGAAACACGGGCCAGACUCCUACGGGAGGCAGCAGUGGGGAAUCUUGCACAAUGGGGGAAACCCUGAUGCAGCGACGCCGCGUGAGCGAUGAAGCCCUUCGGGGUGUAAAGCUCUUUCGGCAGGGACGAUAAUGACGGUACCCGAAGAAGAAGCUGCGGCUAACUACGUGCCAGCAGCCGCGGUAAUACGUAGGCAGCGAGCGUUGUUCGGAGUUACUGGGCGUAAAGAGUGCGUAGGCGGUUUUCUAAGUUUGGUGUGAAAUCUCCCGGCUUAACUGGGAGGGUGCGUCGAAAACUGGAAGGCUUGAGUAUGGGAGAGGUAAGCGGAAUUCCUGGUGUAGCGGUGAAAUGCGUAGAUAUCAGGAGGAACACCUGCGGUGUAGACGGCUU